rnacentral:rRNA from 1 species
UACGUAGGGUGCAAGCGUUAAUCGGAAUUACUGGGCGUAAAGCGUGCGCAGGCGGUUGUGCAAGACCGAUGUGAAAUCCCCGGGCUUAACCUGGGAAUGGCAUUGGGGACUGCACGGCUAGAGUGUGUCAGAGGGGGGUAGAAUUCCACGUGUAGCAGUGAAAUGCGUAGAGAUGUGGAGGAAUACCGAUGGCGAAGGCAGCCCCCUGGGAUAACACUGACGCUCAUGCACGAAAGCGUGGGGAGCAAACAGG